GACGACGCUGGCGGCGUGCUUAAAACAUAGCAAGUCGAACGGACUUCUCAUGAAGCUUGCGAUUGAGAAGUUAGUGGCGGACGGGUGAGUAACGCGUGGGCAACCUGCCCCUGAGCCCGGGAUAACAGUUCGAAAGGACUGCUAAGACCGGAUAUACUUGCGGUGAAGCAUUUCACUGCAAGGAAAGGGAACGCUCAGGGAUGGGCCCGCGUCCCAUUAGCUAGUUGGUGAGGUAACGGCCCACCAAGGCGACGAUGGGUAGCCGGCCUGAGAGGGUGAACGGCCACACUGGGACUGAGACACGGCCCAGACUCCUACGGGAGGCAGCAGUUGGGAAUCUUCGGCAAUGGGCGCAAGCCUGACCGAGCAACGCCGCGUGAGUGAUGAAGGUUUUCGGAUUGUAAAGCUCUGUCUUCCGGGACGAUAAUGACGGUACCGGAGGAGGAAGCCACGGCUAACUACGUG
rnacentral:rRNA from 1 species